rnacentral:rRNA from 1 species
AGAGUUUGAUCAUGGCUCAGGAUGAACGCUAGCGGCAGGCCUAACACAUGCAAGUCGAGGGGUAACAGGGAAAGCUUGCCUUCCGCUGACGACCGGCGAACGGGUGCGUAACACGUAUGCAACCUACCUUCCACUGGGGUAUAGCCCAGAGAAAUUUGGAUUAAUCCCCCAUAGAACCAAGAGUCGCAUGGCUCAAUGGUUAAAGGAUUCCGGUGGAAGAUGGGCAUGCGUCCCAUUAGCUAGUAGGUGAGGUAAUGGCUCACCUAGGCAACGAUGGGUAGGGGGUCUGAGAGGAUGAUCCCCCACACUGGUACUGAGACACGGACCAGACUCCUACGGGAGGCAGCAGUGAGGAAUAUUGCGCAAUGGACGAAAGUCUGACGCAGCCAUGCCGCGUGAAGGAUGACUGCCCUAUGGGUUGUAAACUUCUUUUAUAUACCAAGAAACCUUGGGACGUGUCCCGAGCUGACGGUAGUAUAUGAAUAAGCACCGGCUAACUCCGUGCCAGCAGCCGCGGUAAUACGGAGGGUGCAAGCGUUAUCCGGAUUUAUUGGGUUUAAAGGGUCCGUAGGUGGACCAUUAAGUCA